rnacentral:antisense_RNA from 1 species
AUCUAUGGCGGCUGUGCGCGGGAUACCUUCGGGUAUGCCGGGUUCCUUUUGUUCCCCGGUUCGCCAACCUGCGUACAGCUGCCACCCAU